rnacentral:rRNA from 1 species
AUUGAACGCUGGCGGCAUGCUUUACACAUGCAAGUCGAACGGUAACAGGCCGCAAGGUGCUGACGAGUGGCGAACGGGUGAGUAAUGCAUCGGAACGUGCCCAGUCGUGGGGGAUAACGCAGCGAAAGCUGCGCUAAUACCGCAUACGAUCUAUGGAUGAAAGCGGGGGACCGUAAGGCCUCGCGCGAUUGGAGCGGCCGAUGUCAGAUUAGGUAGUUGGUGGGGUAAAGGCUCACCAAGCCAACGAUCUGUAGCUGGUCUGAGAGGACGACCAGCCACACUGGGACUGAGACACGGCCCAGACUCCUACGGGAGGCAGCAGUGGGGAAUUUUGGACAAUGGGCGCAAGCCUGAUCCAGCAAUGCCGCGUGCAGGAAGAAGGCCUUCGGGUUGUAAACUGCUUUUGUACGGAACGAAACGGUCCUGGUUAAUACCUGGGGCUAAUGACGGUACCGUAAGAAUAAGCACCGGCUAACUACGUGCCAGCCGCCGCAGUAA